CCUUCGAUAGCUCAGUUGGUAGAGCGGUGGACUGUAGAGAGAUACGACUCCUGCCUAGCAAGAGUAGUAAGCAAUAGUAAUCCAUAGGUCACUGGUUCAAAUCCGGUUCGAAGGA
rnacentral:tRNA from 2 species